rnacentral:rRNA from 1 species
GACGAACGCUGGCGGCGUGCUCAACACAUGCAAGUCAACUGUGGCGGACGGGUGAGUAACGCGUAAAGAACUUGCCUCACAGAUAGGGACACCCUUUGGAAACGAAUGCUAAUACCUGAUACUGUGAGAGAGCUUUGCGUCCCAUUAGCUAGUUGGAGAGGUAACGGCUCACCAAGGCGAUGAUGGGUAGCCGGCCUGGGAGGGUGAUCGGCCACAAGGGGACUGAGACACGGCCCUUACACCGACGGGAGGCAGCAGUGGGGAAUAUUGGACAAUGGACCAAAGUCUGAUCCAGCAAUUCUGUGUGCAGGAUGAAGUUUUCGGAAGGUAAAGUGCUUUCAGUUGGGAAGCAGUACCAACAGAAGAAGUGACGGCUAAAUACGUGCCAGCAGCCGCGGUAAUUC